AGCAGCCGCGGUAAUUCCAGCUCCAAUAGCGUAUAUUAAAGUUGUUGCAGUUAAAAAGCUCGUAGUUGAAUUUCGGGAUUGACGUGAUGGUCAUGCCUUAAGGGGUAUGAACUGUUACAGUUGAUUUCUCACCUUCUGGAGAAACUUGAUGUCCUUUAUUGGGUGUCUUGCGGAUCCAGGACCUUUACCUUGAAAAAAUUAGAGUGUUUAAAGCAGGCAUUUUUGCUCGAAUACAUUAGCAUGGAAUAAUAGAAUAGGACGGCAUGGUUCUAUUUUGUUGGUUUCUAGGAUCACCGUAAUGAUUAAUAGGGAUAGUUGGGGGCAUUAGUAUUCAAUUGUCAGAGGUGAAAUUCUUGGAUUUAUUGAAGACUAACUACUGCGAAAGCAUUUGCCAAGGAUGUUUUCAUUAAUCAAGAACGAAAGUUAGGGGAUCGAAGUACGAUCAGAUACCGUCGUAGUCUUAACCAUAAACUAUAGCCGACUAGGAAUCAGACGAUGUUAAUUUUUAAUGACUCGUUUG
rnacentral:rRNA from 1 species